GGGUUGUGAGGUUAAGCGACUAAGCGUACACGGUGGAUGCCCUGGCAGUCAGAGGCGAUGAAGGACGUGCUAAUCUGCGAUAAGCGUCGGUAAGGUGAUAUGAACCGUUAUAACCGGCGAUUUCCGAAUGGGGAAACCCAGUGUGUUUCGACACACUAUCAUUAACUGAAUCCAUAGGUUAAUGAGGCGAACCGGGGGAACUGAAACAUCUAAGUACCCCGAGGAAAAGAAAUCAACCGAGAUUCCCCCAGUAGCGGCGAGCGAACGGGGAGCAGCCCAGAGCCUGAAUCAGUGUGUGUGUUAGUGGAAGCGUCUGGAAAGGCGCGCGAUACAGGGUGACAGCCCCGUACACAAAAAUGCACAUGCUGUGAGCUCGAUGAGUAGGGCGGGACACGUGGUAUCCUGUCUGAAUAUGGGGGGACCAUCCUCCAAGGCUAAAUACUCCUGACUGACCGAUAGUGAACCAGUACCGUGAGGGAAAGGCGAAAAGAACCCCGGCGAGGGGAGUGAAAAAGAACCUGAAACCGUGUACGUACAAGCAGUGGGAGCACGCUUAGGCGUGUGACUGCGUACCUUUUGUAUAAUGGGUCAGCGACUUAUAUUCUGUAGCAAGGUUAACCGAAUAGGGGAGCCGAAGGGAAACCGAGUCUUAACUGGGCGUUAAGUUGCAGGGUAUAGACCCGAAACCCGGUGAUCUAGCCAUGGGCAGGUUGAAGGUUGGGUAACACUAACUGGAGGACCGAACCGACUAAUGUUGAAAAAUUAGCGGAUGACUUGUGGCUGGGGGUGAAAGGCCAAUCAAACCGGGAGAUAGCUGGUUCUCCCCGAAAGCUAUUUAGGUAGCGCCUCGUGAAUUCAUCUCCGGGGGUAGAGCACUGUUUCGGCAAGGGGGUCAUCCCGACUUACCAACCCGAUGCAAACUGCGAAUACCGGAGAAUGUUAUCACGGGAGACACACGGCGGGUGCUAACGUCCGUCGUGAAGAGGGAAACAACCCAGACCGCCAGCUAAGGUCCCAAAGUCAUGGUUAAGUGGGAAACGAUGUGGGAAGGCCCAGACAGCCAGGAUGUUGGCUUAGAAGCAGCCAUCAUUUAAAGAAAGCGUAAUAGCUCACUGGUCGAGUCGGCCUGCGCGGAAGAUGUAACGGGGCUAAACCAUGCACCGAAGCUGCGGCAGCGACACUAUGUGUUGUUGGGUAGGGGAGCGUUCUGUAAGCCUGUGAAGGUGUGCUGUGAGGCAUGCUGGAGGUAUCAGAAGUGCGAAUGCUGACAUAAGUAACGAUAAAGCGGGUGAAAAGCCCGCUCGCCGGAAGACCAAGGGUUCCUGUCCAACGUUAAUCGGGGCAGGGUGAGUCGACCCCUAAGGCGAGGCCGAAAGGCGUAGUCGAUGGGAAACAGGUUAAUAUUCCUGUACUUGGUGUUACUGCGAAGGGGGGACGGAGAAGGCUAUGUUGGCCGGGCGACGGUUGUCCCGGUUUAAGCGUGUAGGCUGGUUUUCCAGGCAAAUCCGGAAAAUCAAGGCUGAGGCGUGAUGACGAGGCACUACGGUGCUGAAGCAACAAAUGCCCUGCUUCCAGGAAAAGCCUCUAAGCAUCAGGUAACAUCAAAUCGUACCCCAAACCGACACAGGUGGUCAGGUAGAGAAUACCAAGGCGCUUGAGAGAACUCGGGUGAAGGAACUAGGCAAAAUGGUGCCGUAACUUCGGGAGAAGGCACGCUGAUAUGUAGGUGAGGUCCCUCGCGGAUGGAGCUGAAAUCAGUCGAAGAUACCAGCUGGCUGCAACUGUUUAUUAAAAACACAGCACUGUGCAAACACGAAAGUGGACGUAUACGGUGUGACGCCUGCCCGGUGCCGGAAGGUUAAUUGAUGGGGUUAGCGCAAGCGAAGCUCUUGAUCGAAGCCCCGGUAAACGGCGGCCGUAACUAUAACGGUCCUAAGGUAGCGAAAUUCCUUGUCGGGUAAGUUCCGACCUGCACGAAUGGCGUAAUGAUGGCCAGGCUGUCUCCACCCGAGACUCAGUGAAAUUGAACUCGCUGUGAAGAUGCAGUGUACCCGCGGCAAGACGGAAAGACCCCGUGAACCUUUACUAUAGCUUGACACUGAACAUUGAGCCUUGAUGUGUAGGAUAGGUGGGAGGCUUAGAAGUGUGGACGCCAGUCUGCAUGGAGCCGACCUUGAAAUACCACCCUUUAAUGUUUGAUGUUCUAACGUUGACCCGUAAUCCGGGUUGCGGACAGUGUCUGGUGGGUAGUUUGACUGGGGCGGUCUCCUCCUAAAGAGUAACGGAGGAGCACGAAGGUUGGCUAAUCCUGGUCGGACAUCAGGAGGUUAGUGCAAUGGCAUAAGCCAGCUUGACUGCGAGCGUGACGGCGCGAGCAGGUGCGAAAGCAGGUCAUAGUGAUCCGGUGGUUCUGAAUGGAAGGGCCAUCGCUCAACGGAUAAAAGGUACUCCGGGGAUAACAGGCUGAUACCGCCCAAGAGUUCAUAUCGACGGCGGUGUUUGGCACCUCGAUGUCGGCUCAUCACAUCCUGGGGCUGAAGUAGGUCCCAAGGGUAUGGCUGUUCGCCAUUUAAAGUGGUACGCGAGCUGGGUUUAGAACGUCGUGAGACAGUUCGGUCCCUAUCUGCCGUGGGCGCUGGAGAACUGAGGGGGGCUGCUCCUAGUACGAGAGGACCGGAGUGGACGCAUCACUGGUGUUCGGGUUGUCAUGCCAAUGGCACUGCCCGGUAGCUAAAUGCGGAAGAGAUAAGUGCUGAAAGCAUCUAAGCACGAAACUUGCCCCGAGAUGAGUUCUCCCUGACUCCUUGAGAGUCCUGAAGGAACGUUGAAGACGACGACGUUGAUAGGCCGGGUGUGUAAGCGCAGCGAUGCGUUGAGCUAACCGGUACUAAUGAACCGUGAGGCUUAACCUUACAACGCCGAAGGUGUUU
rnacentral:rRNA from 1 species